AGAGUUUGAUCCUGGCUCAGGACGAACGCUGGCGGCGUGCUUAACACAUGCAAGUCGAACGGAGAACAUAGCAAUAUGUUUUUAGUGGCGAACGGGUGAGUAACGCGUAGACAACCUGCCUUCCAGAUGGGGACAACGUUCCGAAAGGGACGCUAAUACCGAAUAAGACGGCAAGACCGCAUGGUCAUGCCAAGAAAGAUGGCCUCUAUAUAUAAGCUAUCGCUGGAAGAUGGGUCUGCGUCUGAUUAGCUGGUUGGUGAGGUAACGGCUCACCAAGGCGACGAUCAGUAGCCGGUCUGAGAGGAUGAACGGCCACACUGGGACUGAGACACGUCCCAGACUCCUACGGGAGGCAGCAGUGGGGAAUCUUCCGCAAUGGACGAAAGUCUGACGGAGCAACGCCGCGUGAGUGAAGAAGGUUUUCGGAUCGUAAAACUCUGUCUUUUGGGGCGAACGUGAGUAUGGUGAACAAUCAUAGUCAGUGACGGUACCAAAGGAGGAAGCCACGGCUAACUACGUGCCAGCAGCCGCGGUAAUACGUAGGUGGCAAGCGUUGUCCGGAAUUAUUGAGCGUAAAGAGCGCGUAGGCGGGAUAGUCAGUCUGUUGUAAAAGUGCGGGGCUCAACCCCGUGAUGGCAAUGGAAACAGCUAUUCUUGAGUGCAGGAGAGGAAAGUGGAAUUCCCAGUGUAGCGGUGAAAUGCGUAGAUAUUGGGAGGAACACCAGUGGCGAAGGCGACUUUCUGGACUGUGUCUGACGCUGAGGCGCGAAAGCCAGGGGAGCGAACGGGAUUAGAUACCCCGGUAGUCCUGGCCGUAAACGAUGGGUACUAGGUGUGGGGGGUAUCGACCCCUUCCGUGCGGAGUUAACGCAAUAAGUACCCCGCCUGGGAGUACGGUCGCAGACUGAAACUCAAGGAUGACGGGGGCCCGCCCAGCGGUGGAGUAUGUGGUUUAUUCGA
rnacentral:rRNA from 1 species